ACUACAUGUGUCUCGUCAAAAUGUUCAAUCAAUUUCUCGCUUGGGUACUUGUCUGCUCAUUUCACACCAUAUCGAUGGGACAAUUGAUAGCAUCUGGUCGCCAAGCAACGGCUGAUGAAGUCCGCAUUGAACAGAGUAUACUUGCGAACAUCAGGUAUUUGUUAAUACCUUACUGUAAGUUGGAAUUGCCCACUGACCCCCCCAUCAGUGAGCCUCCAGAGCCUGGCCGAACGCAUUGUUGCGAUGGAGAAAUCCCACAAAAAUGACGAAAUCUCCGACAACCUUUCGUCUGAAAUCCAGAACAUGUCCAGCCGUAUCGAGAUGAUAGAGAAAUCCCAUGGCAGUGACAACACAUCCGGCAUCCUUUCGUCGGAAAUCCAGGAACUAGCUAAACGUAUCGUGGUGAUUGAGAAAUCACACGACAUUGAAACUUCAUCCGUCAUCCUUACGUCGGAAAUCCAGAACCUCACCGAACGUAUCGUGGCGAUGGAGAGAUCACAUUACAUUGAUACUUCAUCCGUCAUCCUUUCGUCAGAAAUCCAGAACCUCACCGAACGUAUCGUGGCGAUGGAGAGAUCACAUUACAUUGAAACCACGUCGGACAUCCUUUCGUCAGAAAUCCAGAACCUGGCUGAACGUAUCGUGUCGAUGGAGAAAUCAUUAGAAACUGACGCAAACCCGACAUCCCUUCGCUGGAAAUCCAGAACCUGGCAAACCGUAUUCAGGGGAUUGAGAAUAUACUUCAACAAAAUGUCACAAGGAGGUUGGAGUGCAUAGCUUCCUUCGAAAAUAUCCAAUCGAACCUUGAUGUUCAGAUGUUUGAUGGUCGAUGCUACUUCAUCGGACGACAGUAUUUGUCUUGGAGUAAAACUCAGGCUAAGUGUCAACUAGCUGGAGCGAACCUCGUGACGGACCCAAGCCAGAGACUCAUUGACUUUCUAACGGAAGUUAUUGAAAAUCAUUUUUGGAUAGGAGCCAGAAAGACAAAUAUCGGCAGUUUCCAAUGGAUUACUAACGGUGAAACUGUCUAUUGGAAUGACAGGAGAUGGGAUGGAAAUCACCCUUAUUAUAAUGAACGUAAUCUAUGUGUUUAUGUCAACGUUGGUAGGAGGAAGUGGCGUGAUUACGACUGUAAUCACAGAUACAAUUAUGUCUGCCAAUUAUAAAUCAUCACAUUUAUUUCAAAUUUAGGUCAAUUUCAGGUCAUUUUCAGGUCAAAAUCAAGUCGAUUUCUUGACAUGAAUUGACUAAUCUUCUCUUUUCAUGUCAAGAAUUUGACCUGAAUUGACAUGAAGACAUUUUACCUAUGUACAUGUAUCAUUUUUC